AUGCAUUGGCAAGGUCUUUGAUGAAAUUUGAAAAAUUGUAGCGGAAAUUCAUAAAAAUUAUUCCACAACAAAAAUGCCCUGCUUUGUUACACCAUUCAUAGAGUGCGAGUGGAAAUAUUGGGUUGCUCAAAAAGUAAUUGCGGAUUUUUUAAAAGAAACAAGCUAAAAGUAACAGCUGAUUACUGACGGAAGAAAGAAUGCAAUUACAGAGUCACAAGCUGUGAAAAAAUUUGUCAACGCCGACUAUAUGAAAAAUCCGCAAUUACUUUUUGGGCAACCACUAGUAAGAAUAUGUAAAAGCGUGCUAAGUUCGCCUGGGCCGCCUCUAGGGAACCCACCACCAUAGAUUCUGCUACAAAUUUUUACAAACUAAAUUUAUUUGAAGGGCAUAAUUUUAUUCUACAUACCAAACUCUGUAAAAUCAGCAAAAAUUUAAGCUUCUAGGAGCCGAAUAAGGAUAA